rnacentral:rRNA from 1 species
UACGAAGGGGGCUAGCGUUGCUCGGAAUCACUGGGCGUAAAGGGUGCGUAGGCGGGUCUUUAAGUCAGGGGUGAAAUCCUGGAGCUCAACUCCAGAACUGCCUUUGAUACUGGCGACCUUGAGUCCGGGAGAGGUGAGUGGAACUGCGAGUGUAGAGGUGAAAUUCGUAGAUAUUCGCAAGAACACCAGUGGCGAAGGCGGCUCACUGGCCCGGUACUGACGCUGAGGUGCGAAAGCGUGGGGAGCAACAGG